GAGAACAUUUAGACAAAAUUACAGGGAUAGAGAAUGCAAUAUGUAUUGCAAAGAAUUUUGAAAAAAAAAUUAUUGAUAAGAUAGUACUACUUACAACUUAGGUUUGGUUUUCACAGCGCUAUUUAGAUAUAGUUUUUAGUGGAUUCUGGUGUAUGGGCCUGCCAGAUUAGGGCUUGUUCCUUUUAGUGUCAAUUCAUAUGAAUUAAACGAGAUUGAGUGAGUUUAGCAAAUUAAAAUAAUUCUUAAAAUUUUUCAAUCACUUCUAAUCCAUGUGAGAUAUGAAUGACCGAACAAGGCCUUACAUGGAUUUUCCAGAGGUGAAAGUGUCCUGACUGGCCAGCAAAGUGGCAACGCAGAGCAAGACUCUUGGGAAUGUCGUAGAGCAGGGGUCCCGAUGUCUCCUAUGCUUAUUGUAUGCAGCAAACACAAGUGCUCACGGUGGAUUUUGUGAAUCACUCGAUCAUCUCUCUCAGCAAAAUUAAACACACUUCUUUUCGCCAUGGGUGUCCACACUACACUAUACUGCGAUCCAUGGAGCUAUAUAGCAACAGCAUCUAUAUAUUGUUCAGCAAUUCAUUGAGUGCACCUACCGCUACAUGAGAAUGUAAUGAGCUAGCUGUUCACAUUGAGUCCCGUAGAACACUGGUACUCAUUGAUGUCGUACAUACAAAUAAGUGAUCAGCAAUGAGGUGAAACGUCUGAAGUCUGCGAUCAUCUUCUACUUGGGUUGGAGCAUCAAGCAUGGUGGCGUAACUAAUG
rnacentral:lncRNA from 7 species